GGGAAUUUUCCGCAAUGGGCGAAAGCCUGACGGAGCAAGACCGCGUGGGGGAAGAAGGCUCUUGGGUUGUAAACCCCUUUUCUCUGGGAAGAAAGUUGUGAAAGCAGCCUGACGGUACCAGAGGAAUCAGCAUCGGCUAACUCCGUGCCAGCAGCCGCGGUAAGACGGAGGAUGCAAGCGUUAUCCGGAAUGAUUGGGCGUAAAGCGUCCGCAGGUGGCAGUUCAAGUCUGCUGUCAAAGACCGGGGCUCAACCUCGGAAAGGCAGUGGAAACUGAACAGCUAGAGUAUGGUAGGGGCAAAGGGAAUUCCUGGUGUAGCGGUGAAAUGCGUAGAGAUCAGGAAGAACAUCGGUGGCGAAGGCGCUUUGCUGGACC
rnacentral:rRNA from 1 species